AUGGCGACGGAGUCGCCGUUCCGGGCGGACGUGCUGAAGGGCAAGGCGGCGCUGGUCACCGGCGGCGGCUCCGGCAUCUGCUUCGAGAUCGCCGCCCAGCUCGCCCGCCACGGCGCCCACGUCGCCAUCAUGGGCCGCCGCCGCGAGGUCCUCGACAAGGCCGUCGCCGCCCUCCGCUCCGAGGGCCUUCGGGCUGUUGGAUUUCAGGGAGAUGUACGUAACCAGGAGGAUGCAGCGAGAGUGCUUGCGUCGACCGUUGAGCAUUUCGGCAAGCUUGACAUUCUUGUCAACGGUGCAGCGGGCAACUUCCUUGCAUCCCCGGAGGAUCUCACACCCAAGGGAUUCCGGACAGUUCUUGAGAUUGACACUGUGGGUACAUACACAAUGUGCUACGAAGCCCUGAAGUAUCUGAAAAAAGGUGGGCCAGGGAGGGGUCCCUCCACUGGUGGCCUCAUCAUUAACAUAAGCGCGACACUGCAUUACACUGCUUCUUGGUACCAAAUUCAUGUCUCCGCCGCUAAGGCAGGUGUUGAUAGUAUCACAAGAACGCUGGCUCUGGAAUGGGGAACAGAUUAUGAAAUUAGGGUCAAUGGAAUUGCACCAGGACCAAUCGGAGGCACUCCAGGUCUGAGGAAGCUUGCACCUGAUGAAAUGGGCAAGGGGAAAAGGGAAAUGAUGCCUUUAUUUAAGUUGGGGGAGACACAGGACAUAGCAAUGGCCGCGCUCUAUCUUGCUUCCGAUGCUGGCAAAUAUGUAAAUGGGACUACGCUGGUGGUUGAUGGAGGGCUUUGGUUGAGUCACCCUCGCCACAUCCCCAAGGAGGAAGUGAAGGAGCUCUCAAAGGUGAUCGAGAAGAAGGUUAGGGCCUCUGGUGUAGGUGUACCCUCCAGCAAAUUGUGA
rnacentral:rRNA from 1 species